rnacentral:rRNA from 1 species
AUUGAACGCUGGCGGCAGGCCUAACACAUGCAAGUCGAACGAGUGGCGGACGGGCGAGUAAUGUAUGGGAAACUGCCUGAUGGAGGGGGAUCACAAAUGGAAACGGUAGCUAAUACCGCAUACCAUCAGAUGGGCCCAGAUGGGUUUAGCUUGUGGGUGGGGUAACGGCUCACCAAGGCGACGAUCCCUAGCUGGUAUGAGAGGAUGACCAGCCACACUGGAACUGAGACACGGUCCAGACUCCUACGUGAGGCAGCAGUGGGGAAGAUUGCACAAUGGGCGAAAGCCUGAUGCAGCCAUGCCGCGUGUAUGAAGAAGGCCUUCGGGUUGUAAAGUACGUUCAGCGGGGAGGCGUUACCCGCAGAAGAAGCACCGGCUAACUCCGUGCCAGCAGCCGCGGUAAUAC